rnacentral:rRNA from 1 species
UGGGGAAUAUUGCGCAAUGGGCGAAAGCCUGACGCAGCGACGCCGCGUGAGGGAUGAAGGUUUUCGGAUCGUAAACCUCUGUCAGAAGGGAAGAAACCGCACUGUGCUAAUCAGCAGUGCCUUGACGGUACCUUCAAAGGAAGCACCGGCUAACUCCGUGCCAGCAGCCGCGGUAAUACGGAGGGUGCAAGCGUUAAUCGGAAUUACUGGGCGUAAAGCGCACGUAGGCUGCUUUGUAAGUCAGGGGUGAAAUCCCACAGCUCAACCGUGGAACUGCCUUUGAUACUGCUUAGCUUGAAUCCGGGAGAGGGUGGCGGAAUUCCAGGUGUAGGAGUGAAAUCCGUAGAUAUCUGGAGGAACAUCAGUGGCGAAGGCGGCCACCUGGACCGGUAUUGACGCUGAGGUGCGAAAGCGUGGGGAGCAAACAGG